AGUGGAAGGCUCAUGGGAGUCUGAUUAAAGCUGAGAAAAGUGGGGAAACAAUGAUUAACUCACACAGGCUGGGAAUUAAUUAUCUCCAACCAACACAUUCAGUAUCAAAGUGAGCCGAUCUCACUCACUGUCAGACACUGCAGAGUGAGAAACAGAUGAUGGUUCUGUGGCAAACGUCCUUUUGCUGAAUAUUCUACCUACGUGGCAACAAAAACUUUGGCCCCAGCAGUUUCUCACUCUCCAGCUACUCCACUGGCAACUUCCAACAAUUUGUCAAAGUGACCACUUGCAUGCUCUUGCCAGUCUAUGGCUCCAGUUGCUUCUGUUCCAGGUAAGCAGACCUCUGCUAUAUUCUCUGUCUCUCCAGAUUUUGGGGUGAUCAUUUGUCCUGUACAAGUACAAGUCAUUGAUUUUCAGUUUGUCCAGCUUUUUCUUGUUGUUAGGAUAAAAGUGGUGACUUCCAAGUUCUUAUGUGUUGGAACUGAAACCAGAAGUCUACAUACUUGUUUCUAAAACCGGGUUUCUUAAAAACUCUCUGAACCUCAGUUUCAACAUUUGUGACUGGAUGUAACAAUAUCUACCUUCUAUGGUGAUUGUGGGGAAUAAAGGAGAAAAUGUGAAGUGCCUAGCACAUAAUACCCAGCAAUGAUUGGAUAAUGGUACCCAUCCCCUCCUCUCCCCUGCAAUGAAAUCACUAGAAGUGUGCAGGCCAAAGUAGAAAGAACCCCGGGUAAGAACAAGGUGAAGAUUUAGUAUCAGAAGGGGGAAAAAGUUCUUUACAAUCUUUCCUGCCUCUGAUUUUCCAUAGUCUUCUCACUCCCAUUUUCUAAAUGUGGUCACUCUUAAGAGAAAGUUAAUUAACAGAAUAUGCAAAUUAAAGAGCAGUUAUAACACUAAUUAACAUUUUCAUAAUAAUAGCUAGUCCAGUUCUGUACAUGUGUAAAUCAAGACAUCAGUGUCUCUGCUGCCUACAGAACUUCACACUGGAAAAUUGCAAUUACUUUGCUAUCAAAGCAGAACUGAGAAGCGUGGAAAUGGUGGCUUCUAAAAGCCUCUUCGUUUAACACAGUGUCCGAAUAGGUCGAUACCAUGCUCUGAUAGAUGAGCAAUGACUUUGAGCUUCAUUGUGGCCCAUCCUUUGGUUGGCAAGCAGUGGAUGGAAUGAUGACACAAUAGCAUCCCCUGCAGGACUGAGGUAACAACCCCAGAACUUGAGCGGCGACUUCUUUACCUCUUCCCCCUCCCUCUUUCAGUCCCAGGAAACUAAAGCUGUACCUUUUCAAAAUGUGGGCAAGCUGGAUUUUGCUGUGCUUUGCUGGAAGAUAGUCACAACUUGUUGAACAACUCCCCUGAGGACAAAGCAAUUGGGCGGCUCCGAACGCUCAGGGAAAGAAGUUGUGUUGGUAAAGAAAUUGCUGGCCAGGUGCGGUGGCUCACGCCUGUAAUCCCAGCACUUUGGGAGGCCGAGGCGGGCAGAUCACGAGGUCAGGAGAUUGGGACCAUCCUAGCCAACACGGUGAAAUCCUGUGUUUACUAAAAAUACAAAAAUUAGCUGGGUGUGGUGGUGCGCGCCCAUAGUCCCAGCUACUCUGGAGGCCGAGGCAGGAGAAUUGCUUGAACCGGGAAGGUGGAGGUUACAGUGAGCCGAGAUGGCACCACUGCACUCCAGCUUGGUGACAGAGUGAGACUCCAUCAAAAAAAAAAAAAAAAAAAGAAAUUGCUGUGCCAGCCAUAGGAGUUUUUGUGCAGCAACAUAAGCCAUCUUCCCAUACAUGCUUUGUGCAGCAUUAGCUGAAGACACACACCUGAAUUUAUGGGGCUCAGGAUGGCUCUCUGUCCCUUUAUUAUAGAUUACAUGCUGGAAAAUCAGGAUAGAGCUAGAUACUCUUAAAAAAAAAAACAAAACAAAAUUUUGCCACUAUGACCAUGUCUUUGUAGGCUGUGAUAGACUUGCUUUCUAAACGCUUCCUCCAUCUAUGCUUUCCAACAUUCACUGAAGUUUUCACUCUCCUAUGUUUAUGUAAAUGGGACAAAACUCUUGAUUUUUCAGUUAAUAUAAGAAAUUACACAAAUGCAUUGACUUCAAGUUCUUUUCCAGUUCUUUUCUGGUUUGAUAGAGUGAUAUUUUCAUUAAUUACACUAGUUAAGAAUUGUGAACCCCCAAAAUAUGAGACAGGUCUCAGUUAAUUGAAAAAGUUUAUUUUGCCAAGGUUGAGGACACCCGUGACGCAGCCUCAGGAAGUCCUGAUAACAUGUGCCCAAGGUGGUUGGGGCACAGCUUGGUUUUAUACAUUUUAG
rnacentral:lncRNA from 1 species